AAGUCGUAACAAGGUAUCCGUAGGUGAACCUGCGGAUGGAUCAUUAGAAUAGGAGAAUAUAUUGUGUGGAAGGGUGGAUGUUGUGGUGUGUUGUUGCAGUGAGUAUGAUUGCGCAGCAGCAACGACACGAUUGAACGUAAAAAGAGAGUCAUCAACAGAAAAAAGUUAAUACAACUUUCAGCAACGGAUCUCUUGGCUCUC
rnacentral:misc_RNA from 1 species